rnacentral:snoRNA from 1 species
UUGUGAAUAUUCUCACUGGUCUGGUUUUGUGAUAAACACUGGUGAUAUGUGACCAGGUAAGGCUAUAUAUUCACUCUAAUAAGACAAUGCACAUGUCCCCAGACUGAGUUCUUUCCUGAGCCUGGUGAUAUGCCAAGUAUUACUU